CUAUCGAUCGGAACAACAACUCGACAAUCUGCUUUGGAACAUGCCGUUCAUCAUGCCGUUGUAUUGGCGCGAGCAUUCGGUCGGAAGGUGUGGCCGAUAAAUUGCCGAACUCGCCGUUUGCCGAAAAUCCGGAAAGACGGAAUUCCCCGAAUUCGCUCCUUGCUUAAGAAACGGCUUCGCCGUCCCCCACUGCUCGGAAUCUUUCUUUUCAGAUUGCUCAGGAAGCCGACAACUACCAAUGGGGACAAAUUAUUAAGGAUUUUGGAAACUUCAUUAUGUCCUUUUGCUGUACAUUUUGAUAUGUGGAUAAAUGCUUGAAAACA
ensembl:ncRNA W07G1.25 ncRNA